UACGUAGGUGGCAAGCGUUGUCCGGAUUUAUUGGGCGUAAAGCGCGCGCAGGUGGUUCCUUAAGUCUGAUGUGAAAGCCCACGGCUCAACCGUGGAGGGUCAUUGGAAACUGGGGGACUUGAGUGCAGAAGAGGAUAGUGGAAUUCCAAGUGUAGCGGUGAAAUGCGUAGAGAUAUGGAGGAACACCAGUGGCGAAGGCGACUAUCUGGUCUGUAACUGACACUGAGGCGCGAAAGCGUGGGGAGCAAACAGG
rnacentral:rRNA from 1 species